GUAAAAACAUAAGAGGUCCAGCCUGCCCAGUGACAAAGUUUAACGGCCGCGGUACCCUAACCGUGCGAAGGUAGCAUAAUCACUUGUUCUUUAAAUGAGGACUAGUAUCAACGGCAUCACGAGGGUUAAACUGUCUCCUUUUUCCAAUCAGUGAAACUGAUCUUCCCGUGAAGAAGCGGGAAUUAUUUUAUAAGACGAGAAGACCCCAUGGAGCUUUAAACCCAAUUACAACCUUAUUUUUUUCAUCUUCAUAACCUUUAAGGUAGUGUAUAUCUGGUUUUAGGUUGGGGUGACCGCGGAGCAUAAAUAAGCCUCCACGAUGAACGGAAUUAUUUCCUUAUCUAAGAAUUACAUUUCUAAGAAUUAAUAUUUUAACAUACAAUGAUCCAAUAUUUGAUCAACGAACCAAGUUACCCUGGGGAUAACAGCGCAAUCCACUUCAAGAGCCCCUAUCGACAAGUGGGUUUACGACCUCGAUGUUGGAUCAGGGUAUCCCAGUGGUGCAGCAGUUACUAAAGGUUCGUUUGUUCAACGAUUAAAACCCUACGUGAUCUGAG
rnacentral:rRNA from 1 species